rnacentral:snoRNA from 1 species
AUGCAUCUAUUUGACAGACCUAGAGCAGUUACUAUCUGCUUAUAAGGUUUUCACUAUAAAUGCAAGAAAAAAGCAUCCUCAUUCUUUUUGUCUGAUUGUGGCAGCUAAGACUGAAUGGGGGAAUAGAGGA